GCCGAAGUGGCGGAAUUGGCAGACGCGCCGGAUUCAAAAUCCGGUUCUGGGGAACCAGAGUGGGGGUUCGACUCCCCCCUUCGGCA
rnacentral:tRNA from 1 species